rnacentral:rRNA from 1 species
UACGAAGGGUGCAAGCGUUACUCGGAAUUACUGGGCGUAAAGGGCGCGUAGGCGGUCCUGAUCGUCGGAUGUGAAAGGCCUGGGCUCAACCUGGGAACUGCAUCCGAUACGGCGGGACUGGAGUGUGGGAGAGGUUGGUGGAAUUCCCAGUGUAGAGGUGAAAUUCGUAGAUAUCGGGAGGAACACCAGUGGCGAAGGCGACUUUCUGGCCUGUUCUUGACGCUGAGGCGCGAAAGCUAGGGGAGCAAACGGG